CGGUGAGUUAUGCUGAGCGACUCUGCUCCUGGCCUCCUGGAGGCUCGAGACCCCCGCGCCAGGAGCGAGGUGGGAGAGUAGCUACGUGGGGUAUUAGUUUCCUCGCUCCUCAAGGGGAAUCAUAAUUUACGGGCGGUUGCGUGCCCUAGACUGACUGCUCUCCCCUUUCAGUGAGGACUGUGCUUCCUCCGAGGGAGUUGCGGGCCGGGACAUGCGGACCGAGCAUAUUUCUAGGUCUAGGGACAAGGGACUUGGAAUCCUGCCUCGGACUUUGUCGGAGGGUUUUAGUGACUUCUCUACGUAGCUCCCUCAUUGUCUCUCAUCUUUUGGCUCCCCUGUCAAGGACCAUCCCCCAUUCUAGGACUUCGAUGUGUGAUGCUUUGAUCAAAGGAUUGACAUUCCUUUUCUAAGUGUUUGCUGUCAGCUUUCAGCCACUUGAUUGGUUUGGAAUCGGAGCCUUUUCUCCUGCGAUUCCAGGUGUCCCUAAGGUAUCAGUGUUAUCCAGAACCAAGAACUCAGUGGAGGAAUGAAAAAGGCAGCAUCUUUAAAAUAAUGUUUAUUGGAAGGGGUUGCAAGAGCUUGCGAAGUCAUGAAGAACAAAGUUUUUUAGAGCCAUUAUGAAAUGGCAACGAUAAUACUGCACUCUAUGUGAACAGUUUCUGUUUCCUUCAUCUGGGGCACGUGCAUAUGAUCAACUUUGGACUUCUUUUGAGAUUGCCAGGCGUUUGCAAUGGCUGCUACUGUGAACUUGGAACUUGAUCCCAUUUUUUUGAAAGCACUAGGUUUCUUGCAUUCAAAGAGUAAAGAUUCUGCUGAAAAGCUAAAAGCACUGCUUGAUGAAUCUUUGGCUCGGGGCAUUGAUUCCAGUUACCGUCCAUCUCAAAAGGAUGUGGAGCCACCCAAAAUUUCAAGCACAAAAAACAUUUCCAUUAAGCAAGAGCCCAAAAUAUCAUCCAGUCUUCCUUCUGGUAAUAAUAAUGGCAAGGUCCUCACAA
rnacentral:lncRNA from 1 species